rnacentral:tRNA from 1 species
CGAUCACCUGGUCCAGGUCGGAAUCCGCGCGCACGCUGACGCGCACGGCAGCGUUGCCGAUGCCGCGAUUGCUGUUCGAAACCGUGCUGACCGA